UUGAGCGUGUGUAUUCUCUGCAUAUUACCUACAUAAAAAUUAUUAUAAAAUAUAUUCAUUUGUGCUUGAAUUGUCUGUAUAAGACAAGUGUGAUGUGCGCACACGCUGACAAGAUACCGAAGCUGAAAUACAACUUCUGGAGCUGCGACGAUGACGUGAAGCAAAAUUCAGCCAGUUGUUCACAAGCGUAUUCAACGUGAUACGCAUCGUACUACCAGAACAGCGUAUAAAGCUCACCAAGAGACGAAUUAUAAUUGGAACUCUGGUAUUUUGUUUCAUUUCUUUUUCUGUUUAUAAGCACGUCCAGAAACGAAAUGCAGCAAAAGAGGCGCAAAGCCAAAGUAAUAAACAAAGUGACGGAAAACUUCAUGAUUGGCACGACUACGCCGCUAUGUCUCGCGAUGCUGUGCGCAUUGGAGCAGGUGAGCAGGGCCAGCCAGGUACCUUAGCGAAUGUGGAAUAUAAAGACGCAGCAGCUGCAAGCUUGCGCCAAUACGGCUUUAAUGCUUUACUCUCAGAGCAAAUUUCAUUGCCGCUGUUGCAACCAAUCUUUGAUGAUCCACACACCAGCACGACGCCACUAAUAGAUACUAUUAAUUAUGCCACUUUCGAAUACAUAAGGUCGUCACCUUCGCGUGGUGGAUUUGAUUGGAACUUCAAUUACGUACAGCUGCCGUUACUGGACGAAGAACGAAGAGCGCUGCCGGCACCACACAGCAAUCCUGUGAUGAACGGAGGCCUUUUUGCAAUCGAAGCGAAGUUCUUUUGGCAUUUGGGAGCAUACGACGAAGGCUUGGAUGUGUGGGGCGCCGAGCAAUUUGAGCUCAGCUUCAAAAUAUGGAUGUGCGGUGGCCGAAUAUUAGAAGUGCCGUGCUCACGCAUGGGACAUCUUUACCGGGAUGGAGCAUUUCACGUCAAAUACACCAAUCGCUCCGAUGAUUUUAUUUCGAGGAAUUACAAACGCGUCGCAUCAGUAUGGUUGGAUGAAUACCAAGCAGCUUUAUAUGAGCACAUUCGCACGCUUGUCCUACUCGAUGCAGGUGAUGUAAGCGCGCGGCGUACUCUACGACAGCGGCUGAAGUGCAAAACGUUCAAAUGGUACCUCGAAACUAUUGCACCAGACUUAGCGCAGACAUAUCCACCAAUUGAGCCACCAGAUUAUGCGUUUGGUGCACUCCAAAGUUUUGCUGCGCCGCAGUUUGUUUGGAUUCAAUGCAUCUGCCAUCUCGGCAACCAAUUGGCGCCCUGCGACCUUGUUCGCCUGACCUGAAGUACCCAUACACAUCGCAACAUUGGCAGCUUACCUUUCGUCGUGAUCUUCGCCAGCCAGAUGGAAAUUGUCUGGAGGUGCAGUCAUGGACACUCGAUGCACCAGUUUGGCUAUGGCCGUGCCACCAUCAGGGUGGCAAUCAAUUUUGGUAUUACGACCAGCAAACACAGUUGCUAGUGCAAAGUGAAACGGAAACAGAGCGGAGAUGUCUGGUGGCGAAUGUGACGGCUAGGCGGGCGUGCAUGAAUUUCUGUGAUUUUUCCGAUAUGAACAUGAAGUGGAAUUUCAGAUUUGUCAACAAAACAAUAAUGGGAACAUUUUUCAAGGGAUUAAGAACGAAUGAAUAUGAAAGUUGAGAAAUUGGUUGCAUUUCGCAUGUUCUCAAUGUGUAUUAUAUAGUUAUUACAUACGGAGUAAAAAAAUCUAUUUUAUUUUAUUACUUAUAACUUACCACGUUUAUAUCAACUCGCUUUCUUGUUUUCAAAGAUUUCAGUACAAACUUUGCGCUGCGUUCAAUACCGCUUGAGCUUUGCCUUGGUAUGGAAAUAGGGUGCACAGUGUGAAACUUCCAAAAAUACAUACACUACACUAUUGUACACUAUAUGUACAAUAGGACAAAAAAAUGCCAAAAAUCCACGAAAUUCAUAUACCUGAUCCAAGGCUUCUUCUAUGGUAAUUAAAUAACAAAUGACAAAAACCAAGAAAACCAAGAACCACAAGUUUAAAUAGCACUGGAAUAGCUGCGAUUGAUUGUAGUUGGCUUCACAAAUGAAAAAGUGGAAAAAACAAUAAGGGUUUAUAAGGCGAAACUUCCCAGCAAAAAACACGAUUACGACAGAAACGAAAGUCGAAACGAGCUAGGCGAUGGGAAUCGCUUACCUUUUCGCUUCAAGAAGGAAUUAUUUUAACAUGGGCGUAUCGUUGGCCGUAAGCUCUUACCCCCAGCAUUACAUUCGAACGAAGGGAGAAAGCAUGGAAAAACAGAAUCCAGAGAAGCUAACAAAGAAUGCCUUACAGAGAA